rnacentral:sRNA from 1 species
AAGCUUGAAUUUUGUCAAUUUUUGAGCGCACAAAAAUUUCUCUGUAAUUUCAAUGCUCUUUAGAGGGACUCCAUCGGCUCAAUCCGAAUGCCGCUUUUCGAACUGCAACGGGUUUUCUCCUAAGUUCUCACGUGGACCACCUCCAUCAGGAGACAAAGAUCCUACCCGUGCGAAGUCAUGUUGUCUAAAUGCUGUCUAAGCCAAAUCUGCUGGGCUGUUAUCGCAGGGACCAUCCCAAUCAUCAUCAUCCAGGAGCCUUAAGGUGGAUCUACAUGAUGAUAGUCACAUUAACACUGUUUAAAAGAGUAUGAGUAUUAUCAAACAUCAACUGAAUAAAAUAUCUUUAAAAUAGAGGCAGCUGAAUGAAGACACGCGAAGUGGUUUAUACUGUCCGUGUG